AGGAGAAUAUUGUGAAGUUACUCAAGGCGAAUUACAAAAAUACCAUGCUUAUUGUAAUUGCAAAGAUGGUUUUAUUUGCGUACAUAAAAAAGAGCACCAACUCAAUCGAAACUAUGGGGUAUGUGAAAAACGAAAGCAUGGUUAGUUUGGUGGUCCGUUUGUCUUCGGAGUCACCAAAUUGUAACUGAGUCCGAAGUAUUCCUCACAGUAAACUGAAAGAAAAAUCUAAUGAAUGACUUAAAAUUAGAACUAAUAGAAAAAAUCCAUAGGAACUAGCAUUUUUUAUUAACAAAUUAAACGCUAAAUUCUUUCUAAAAAUUCGACUAUAAGAAAUUAAACACACUCGAAUAUUCGAAGAUUUUGAAAACAUUGAUUUUACAUUAAUCAAGCUAUAUUACGUUUCUCAGUUAAUUACAAAGACUGUUUAUUUAGAUAAAUUGUUAUUGAGCUCAGUAUAUUCAAUUAAUUUAUUUCAAAUUUAAUUAGUUGACAUUUUAUCCCAUUAUUUUUUUUU